GGAAAGGCGCGCGAUACAGGGUGACAGCCCCGUACACAAAAAUGCACAUGCUGUGAGCUCGAUGAGUAGGGCGGGACACGUGGUAUCCUGUCUGAAUAUGGGGGGACCAUCCUCCAAGGCUAAAUACUCCUGACUGACCGAUAGUGAACCAGUACCGUGAGGGAAAGGCGAAAAGAACCCCGGCGAGGGGAGUGAAAAAGAACCUGAAACCGUGUACGUACAAGCAGUGGGAGCACGCUUAGGCGUGUGACUGCGUACCUUUUGUAUAAUGGGUCAGCGACUUAUAUUCUGUAGCAAGGUUAACCGAAUAGGGGAGCCGAAGGGAAACCGAGUCUUAACUGGGCGUUAAGUUGCAGGGUAUAGACCCGAAACCCGGUGAUCUAGCCAUGGGCAGGUUGAAGGUUGGGUAACACUAACUGGAGGACCGAACCGACUAAUGUUGAAAAAUUAGCGGAUGACUUGUGGCUGGGGGUGAAAGGCCAAUCAAACCGGGAGAUAGCUGGUUCUCCCCGAAAGCUAUUUAGGUAGCGCCUCGUGAAUUCAUCUCCGGGGGUAGAGCACUGUUUCGGCAAGGGGGUCAUCCCGACUUACCAACCCGAUGCAAACUGCGAAUACCGGAGAAUGUUAUCACGGGAGACACACGGCGGGUGCUAACGUCCGUCGUGAAGAGGGAAACAACCCAGACCGCCAGCUAAGGUCCCAAAGUCAUGGUUAAGUGGGAAACGAUGUGGGAAGGCCCAGACAGCCAGGAUGUUGGCUUAGAAGCAGCCAUCAUUUAAAGAAAGCGUAAUAGCUCACUGGUCGAGUCGGCCUGCGCGGAAGAUGUAACGGGGCUAAACCAUGCACCGAAGCUGCGGCAGCGACGCUGAUGCGUUGUUGGGUAGGGGAGCGUUCUGUAAGCCUGCGAAGGUGUGCUGUGAGGCAUGCUGGAGGUAUCAGAAGUGCGAAUGCUGACAUAAGUAACGAUAAAGCGGGUGAAAAGCCCGCUCGCCGGAAGACCAAGGGUUCCUGUCCAACGUUAAUCGGGGCAGGGUGAGUCGACCCCUAAGGCGAGGCCGAAAGGCGUAGUCGAUGGGAAACAGGUUAAUAUUCCUGUACUUGGUGUUACUGCGAAGGGGGGACGGAGAAGGCUAUGUUGGCCGGGCGACGGUUGUCCCGGUUUAAGCGUGUAGGCUGGUUUUCCAGGCAAAUCCGGAAAAUCAAGGCUGAGGCGUGAUGACGAGGCACUGCGGUGCUGAAGCAACAAAUGCCCUGCUUCCAGGAAAAGCCUCUAAGCAUCAGGUAACAUCAAAUCGUACCCCAAACCGACACAGGUGGUCAGGUAGAGAAUACCAAGGCGCUUGAGAGAACUCGGGUGAAGGAACUAGGCAAAAUGGUGCCGUAACUUCGGGAGAAGGCACGCUGAUAUGUAGGUGAAGUCCCUCGCGGAUGGAGCUGAAAUCAGUCGAAGAUACCAGCUGGCUGCAACUGUUUAUUAAAAACACAGCACUGUGCAAACACGAAAGUGGACGUAUACGGUGUGACGCCUGCCCGGUGCCGGAAGGUUAAUUGAUGGGGUUAGCGCAAGCGAAGCUCUUGAUCGAAGCCCCGGUAAACGGCGGCCGUAACUAUAACGGUCCUAAGGUAGCGAAAUUCCUUGUCGGGUAAGUUCCGACCUGCACGAAUGGCGUAAUGAUGGCCAGGCUGUCUCCACCCGAGACUCAGUGAAAUUGAACUCGCUGUGAAGAUGCAGUGUACCCGCGGCAAGACGGAAAGACCCCGUGAACCUUUACUAUAGCUUGACACUGAACAUUGAGCCUUGAUGUGUAGGAUAGGUGGGAGGCUU
rnacentral:rRNA from 1 species